rnacentral:rRNA from 1 species
GAUGAACGCUGGCGGCGUGCCUAACACAUGCAAGUCGAGCGAACAGAUAAGGAGCUUGCCCUUUUGACGUUAGCGGCGGAAGGGUGAGUAAAACGUGGGUAACCUCUCUAUUAGACUGGGAUAAAUUCGGGAAACCGGAGCUAAAAUCGGACAUCAUUUGGAACCGCAUGGUUCUAAAGGGAAAGAUGGUGUUGCUAACACUUAUAGAUGGACUCGCGCCGUAUUAGCUAGUUGGUAAGGUAACGGCUUACCAAGGCGACGAUACGUAGCCGACUUGAGAGGGGGAUCGGCCACACUGGAACUGAGACACGGUCAAGACUCUUACGGGAGGCGGCAGUGGGGAACCUUCGGCAAUGAGCGAAAGCCUGACGGAGCAACGCCGCGUGGGUGAUGAAGGGUUUCGGCUGGUAAAACUCGUUUAUUAGGGAGGAAGGAAUGUGUGAGAAUAUGUGGACGUCUUGACGGUACCUAAACAGAAAGCCACGGCUAACUACGUG